GACGAACGCUGGCGGCGUGCCUAAUACAUGCAAGUAGAACGCUGAAGAGAGGAGCUUGCUCUUCUUGGAUGAGUUGCGAACGGGUGAGUAACGCGUAGGUAACCUGCCUUGUAGCGGGGGAUAACUAUUGGAAACGAUAGCUAAUACCGCAUAACAAUGGAUGACACAUGUCAUUUAUUUGAAAGGGGCAAUUGCUCCACUACAAGAUGGACCUGCGUUGUAUUAGCUGGUAGGUGAGGUAACGGCUCACCUAGGCGACGAUACAUAGCCGACCUGAGAGGGUGAUCGGCCACACUGGGACUGAGACACGGCCCAGACUCCUACGGGAGGCAGCAGUAGGGAAUCUUCGGCAAUGGGGGCAACCCUGACCGAGCAACGCCGCGUGAGUGAAGAAGGUUUUCGGAUCGUAAAGCUCUGUUGUAAGUCAAGAACGAGUGUGAGAGUGGAAAGUUCACACUGUGACGGUAGCUUACCAGAAAGGGACGGCUAACUACGUGCCAGCAGCCGCGGUAAUACGUAGGUCCCGAGCGUUGUCCGGAUUUAUUGGGCGUAAAGCGAGCGCAGGCGGUUUGAUAAGUCUGAAGUUAAAGGCUGUGGCUCAACCAUAGUUUGCUUUGGAAACUGUCAAACUUGAGUGCAGAAGGGGAGAGUGGAAUUCCAUGUGUAGCGGUGAAAUGCGUAGAUAUAUGGAGGAACACCGGUGGCGAAAGCGGCUCUCUGGUCUGUAACUGACGCUGAGGCUCGAAAGCGUGGGGAGCGAACAGGAUUAGAUACCCUGGUAGUCCACGCCGUAAACGAUGAGUGCUAGGUGUUGGAUCCUUUCCGGGAUUCAGUGCCGCAGCUAACGCAUUAAGCACUCCGCCUGGGGAGUACGACCGCAAGGUUGAAACUCAAAGGAAUUGACGGGGGCCCGCACAAGCGGUGGAGCAUGUGGUUUAAUUCGAAGCAACGCGAAGAACCUUACCAGGUCUUGACAUCCCGAUGCUAUUUCUAGAGAUAGAAAGUUACUUCGGUACAUCGGUGACAGGUGGUGCAUGGUUGUCGUCAGCUCGUGUCGUGAGAUGUUGGGUUAAGUCCCGCAACGAGCGCAACCCCUAUUGUUAGUUGCCAUCAUUCAGUUGGGCACUCUAGCGAGACUGCCGGUAAUAAACCGGAGGAAGGUGGGGAUGACGUCAAAUCAUCAUGCCCCUUAUGACCUGGGCUACACACGUGCUACAAUGGUUGGUACAACGAGUUGCAAGUCGGUGACGGCAAGCUAAUCUCUUAAAGCCAAUCUCAGUUCGGAUUGUAGGCUGCAACUCGCCUACAUGAAGUCGGAAUCGCUAGUAAUCGCGGAUCAGCACGCCGCGGUGAAUACGUUCCCGGGCCU
rnacentral:rRNA from 1 species